rnacentral:lncRNA from 1 species
GCCCCCGGCCUCGGCCUCCUCCAGCUUGUCCUCCCGAUACUCGGCCCCCUCCUCCGGCUCUCCUUCCCUGGGGGGCUGCUGCUUGCCUGGCCUGGCCUCCUCCAGGCCGCCUGGGCUCCUCUGCUGCUGCAGGGCCUGGGGGCCCGCCCCCGACGAGGGCCCUGGCCCCACCUCCCCACCCCCCUCCGCCGUAGCCCUCUCCUCUGCAGCCCCUCCCUGAGUAGAACGAGCCUGGCCAAUGGCCUCGGGGGCCCCUCCCUCGAGGAGGGCCCCACAUGGCAGUUCUCGAAGCCCCUCCAGCGGGCUGGGGUCUGCUGCCUUCCCCAGGGGUCCCCGCUCGGCAGGGGCGCGGGGGGCGGGGUAGCCGAGGAGCCCCCAGGGCGGCCUGCUGGACGUGCCACCCCUCCCCGCGGACGGCAGGACGAGGGCGCCCAGCGCAGGCAGGACCCCGAGGAGGGAGGAGAGCCCGGCCCCCCACGGGCGGCCACUAUCGCUGCCCAUCUAUCCCCCCUGACAGGUCAAUUUUCUCCCAUGUUUUACAGAACCUUUCAGAGCAGGAAAUGUGAUCCUGCGGCUGAUUUAUGUCCUUACCUGGUCUUUGUUCACAAGCUGCCCUCUGCAGGGCUGCGCCGGGUGUCCAGCCCGGCUGGAGGACAUCUCCCCGAAGGGAUUCCCACCCUCUCUUCCUUCCGGGGGCCGCGUGACUUCGGAGCUCACCUGGGAGACAGGGGAUUGGGCCGCCACUGCGUUCUGUGAGGGGCUGUCUAGGGGGUGGUUUGAAUUCCCCGUCCGCUGGGCUGGCCUGGGGACAUCCUCCUCACCACCUGCACUCAUGAGUAGCGUCUUGGGGCCCCAUCUGGGUGGGGAGGGGUUGUCCCUUGGCAGCAUCUCCCCGUUUGGAAGGGACAGUGACGGGGAUCAUUGUGCUUUUUCUUUCCACAGUAAAUCCACUUUUGUUUCUCAGACUGUGUUCUUUGAUGUCGUAGCUGAGCUCCCAGGGCACACCUGGGCACAAGGGUCGCCUCCCAGCAGGUCCCCCCUGGAGGAGAGAGUUGUCCCUUCAGCAGCUGCCUCCAGAAAUAACGAGAAAUCUUUUGUGUACAACUGAUGAGCUUGCAAUCUUCCAUAAAGUGGCGCAGAACGUAUUUAGGAAACUUCCAGUGGACGUUCCAAGGGAAGACCACUCAGUGUGAUGCGGCCCCUGCCCAGCCCCUGGCAGGCAGAUUCUCCCUGGCUCUGUCACCAGGCGAAGGUCCAGAUGGAGUCUCCCCGGUGUGGUUGACCAGGUGACCUGUCCAGGCUGUGCCUCCUAAGAGGUCGGUAAUGCUCUUCCUGCUUCUCAUCUGCCCGGGGUCUCUGCUCCCAAGUCCACGCUUUAGUCGCCUGUUUCAGCUGUGAGCGAUCCCACUAUCCUUCCCAUCUGACUGAUAGUGAGAACAGCCCUGGUUGCUGUCACCUAAAGCUGACUGAAGACAUUUGGCUGACACAGGACCCACCAAGAUAAAACUGACAGGGUUGGGACUUGAGAUUCCACUUGGAGGAACCUGUAGUCCAGGUUAUACCCACCCACCCAUCUGUCCAUUCAUCCACCUACCCGUGCAUCCAUCUGUCCAUUUAUUCCCUCAUCCAUCCUUACCUAUCUAUUCCUACCUCUGCCACUCACCUUCCUGAACAGGCCACUAACGAUAUUCCAGGCCUGGUACUAGGCACCGAGACCACCAUGGUACACAAGUCCUUCCAUUAGUCUUGAUCUAGGGGAAGAGACAGCAACACGUAAGUCCAGGGGGCUCUGGGUACAUAGAACCCCUUCCCGGGGGAAGGAGCGGGCCAGAGAGGCUUCCGGGGGGAGACUGGAGCUUCCAGAUGGGUAGGGAAGGCAGGCCUGCGGGGCAGAAGCCGGGAAAGUCUUGGUUUCUUCAAGGUGCACGGCCCGAGGAGGCCAGAGAACAGAGCUGGGGGCCAGGAGGAGGGCUCGGAGCUGUGGGUCUGACGUGAUGGGGCUCACUCUACCGAUGGGAGAGGCAUGAGCAGUCCUGUUUUGGUGGCUGUGGCUGUUGCACUAGGAGUGGGGCUCUGAAGGGACAGGGCACACCAACCAGCUAGGAUACCCCAACACCCAACUCCAAGAGACUUCCUGAGGUCCAGCAAGAGCCCUUCCUCCGUCCCUGGGCUUUCCUUCUCCCCGCCACCCUCCCAACCCUCCAGCCACGACUGGCAUUUCAGCAAAAGUCUCCCGACAAACACUGGUUUCACAGACGAGCGGCCGGGAGUGUGGCACGGGCCCCAAGCCCAGAAGGGCCCUGUGCUUUAUUGUUGUCUUGAAAUUCUGAAUAAGAAAGAAAAGAAAGAAAGAAAGAAGGAAAGAAGGAAAGAAAGAAAGAAAGAAAGAAGGAAGGAAGGAAGGAAGGAAGGAAGGAAGGAAGGAAGGAAGGAAGAAAAAAUUAAUUCUGAAAAAAUUAAUUCUGAAUAAAUUCCUCUUUUAGCCUGGGUUUGGUGCAUGGGACCCUGGAGCGCAGCGAGAGCAGAGGAGACAGGUGCGUGGCCCGUGCCAUGCGCCUCGUGGGCAGGGUCCAAGAAGCCCCGGGAGCCGAUCUGGGGGCCGUGAUGCGAGAGCCCAGGGUGAGCACAGGGUGUCACAUGUGGGGAGCAGGGGGGCCCUGCAGCCUCCGGGGCUAAAGAAGCCGGGGGGGG